CAGCAGCCGCGGUAAUACGAAGGGUGCAAGCGUUAAUCGGAAUUACUGGGCGUAAAGCGUGCGUAGGUGGUGGUUUAAGUCCGUUGUGAAAGCCCUGGGCUCAACCUGGGAAUUGCAGUGGAUACUGGGUCACUAGAGUGUGGUAGAGGAUAGUGGAAUUUCCGGUGUAGCAGUGAAAUGCGUAGAGAUCGGAAGGAACAUCUGUGGCGAAGGCGACUAUCUGGGCCAACACUGACACUGAGGCACGAAAGCGUGGGGAGCAAACAGGAUUAGAUACCCCCGUAGUCCCUGUCUCUUAUAC
rnacentral:rRNA from 1 species